GCCGGAAUAGUUUAAUUGGUAAAACGGUUUCCUUGUAAGAUACAAAAGGGGGUUCAAUUCCUCCUUUCGGCA
rnacentral:tRNA from 1 species